UCCCAGCUCAGUUCAGUAGGCCAGGGAGGCCUGGAGCACUCAGGGCAGCUCCGGGAGGAGCGUAGCAGCCAGCCCAGCAUAGGGGAGGAACUGGAGUCCACGAAAGAGGACAGGAAUGAAUGUUUCCCUUAAAAGCUGACACUUCCUAGAGAGGGAGCCGUCUUUGGGAACCGCUCUGCUGAGGCUCUUGAGUGGAAGAUGAGGCAGAGUCUCAAGCAGGGGACUUGUGUGGAGAGGGGGGAAGAAAAGGCCUGUGUCCGCAAGCCGCUCACGGAGCUUCCCAGGAGGUGACUCAUUGGAGCUGUGCAGCAUUCUGUAAAGUGGCAAGAACCUGCCCCUCUGCAGGGUCCACAAAGGCAAUGGGGAGUUUUGCUGAUGUCCUGGAGGAGGAGGAACAGGAGACUCUCCAGGGAUCCUGCCGGGAAAAGAUUCCUGCCGAGAAAAGAUUCCUGCCGAGGAGGAACGCAGAGCUUCUCCGAGGUUUACUACUUGCUGGAAAUAGUUACUUGUGGUUUAAUUAAAGGACAGGGAUUUUACCUGGAGACUCAGUAAAGGUGAAGGUUAUGCCUUGUAGGUCCCUCAACAGAUUUUGUUAAACUGAAUUGAAAUAAAAGUCCGGCUCACAUGUUACUUGUGGAGUAAUAGGGCCUUGGAGCUGGAGAGACAUA